rnacentral:rRNA from 1 species
AUCUACAGCCAUGCCACCUUUCACAAGCGCAAUCCCGUCUGAUCUCGGAAGCUAAGCAGGGUCGGGCCUGGUUAGUACUUAGAUGAGAGACCACCUAGGAAGACCAGGUGCUGUAGGCA